CACGUAGUUAGCCGGGGCUUCUUAGUCAGGUACCGUCUUUUUUCUUCCCUGCUGAUAGAGCCUUACAUACCGAAAUACUUCUUCACUCACGCGGCGUCGCUGCAUCAGGGUUUCCCCCAUUGUGCAAUAUUCCCCACUGCUGCCUCCCGUAGGAGUUUGGGCCGUGUCUCAGUCCCAAUGUGGCCGUUCACCCUCUCAGGCCGGCUACUGAUCGUCGCCUUGGUAGGCCGUUACCCCACCAACCAGCUAAUCAGACGCGGGCUCAUCUUAUACUGCCGGAGUUUUUCACACAGAAACAUGCGUUCCCGUGCGCUUAUGCGGUAUUAGCAGUCAUUUCUAACUGUUAUCCCCCUGUAUAAGGCAGAUUACCCACGUGUUACUCACCCGUCCGCCGCUAAGUCAAUUUCGAUUCCAUCCGAAAACUUCCUCAAAAUCGCUUCGCUCGACUUGCAUGUGUUAGGCACGCCGCCAGCGUUCAUCCUGAGCCAGGAUCAAACUCU
rnacentral:rRNA from 1 species